CGAAUGCGGCGUGCUGGCGGCUUCAGGAGCCCGCACCCCUCCCUCGAAUCUUCCCCGCCCGGGGCUCGAGCGGGAACUGUGGCUCUGAAAAGUCUGACCUGCUCUGGCGCUCUCCGCUUUCACUUUGGCUUUGGCUGAAUUCUUGGCCCGCCUUUCUGAAGCUCACUCCAACUUGGCUUUUGUGUUUCAAAGCCAAUCGCUUCAUCUUGUGACGUGUUCUGGGCCAAAGGAGGAUUGGCUGCCGAGCCCAGAAAGGAGGGAAGGUGAAGUAACCAGCCCGCUGUGGAUCGGAUGCUUCCGGAAUGGCUGCCUGGAACACUCCUUCCACUAGUCCACUAUGCCAACUCACCUGAUGUCCAGACUGGAAAGUGCCAGCCAUAUUCUCCACAUCGAUAUGUGCUAUGGUGCCAAACACCAGAAGUAUUUGCAGAGCGGAGGGAAAACAAGGUUUGAAUUAAACAAAACCAGAAGCCAGACUGUGAAAAAAUUCGAACCCUUCAUUGUGUCAAAUUGUAAGUGGAGAUUCUGUUCCUAUCGAUGCCUUCAAAACUGAAGUUCUCUCUGACCAGGGAGAGACCCAGUAAUGCAGCAUAUAUAAUUAUAAACACGUUAUGCAUCUCAUCAGAGAAAAAACUGCCUUAAGAGGAC
rnacentral:lncRNA from 1 species